UCUUCAGAGAGGACGUCGCUUAAGCUCGCCCUCGCUCUGCCUUUAAGCUUUCUCGCGCAACCUUCCCUUCCAGUCUUUUGCCCUUUCACACCUUCCUGUCAGGAAGCUGAGCUGGUUGCCCGGUGGAGUAAGUUGGUUCGGUUUGGCUCCUGUGUUGGCAGGCGCCUUUGUAUUUGAAUAUGGAACACUCGCCGAGGAAGCUCUCCAUUCUGUGGUUUCGACGCGUAAACCAACGACCCUUGUUGAUCCUUGUACUACGCGGUGUCUCUUCUUUGCCUCCGAAAGCGGGUCCAACCUGGUCGAUGCCUCCGUUUCACCGACAAAAAAAGAGUCUUCAGCGUGGACAGGCGUCACAGACAUGAAGGAGAGCCACGCGUGCCGUCGCUUCAACACCAGCCGUGAUUUAGCUGCGGUACACCGUGUCACACUGCGGUGUACAGCGCAUACAGGGUUGCCCCCGACCAGCGUUUUGCUAUGAACACCCCAGUGACGGGCUUUGUCCAGGAAAAGGGGUAGUGAGGGGAGAUGACUUCGGCCGAGACAAUAUAAAGUGGUAUUUCUUCAAUGAUACCCUUGGGUGCUUGUUGCAUCGGUGGAACGGUUGCGGAAAUGAGUCAAACCUUUUCCCAACAUGUCGCGAGUGCGCAGAAGUAU